AAAUUGCCCUGAUGUGGGGGAUAACCAUUGGAAACGAUGGCUAAUACCGCAUGAUGCCUACGGGCCAAAGAGGGGGACCUUCGGGCCUCUCGCGUCAGGAUAUGCCUAGGUGGGAUUAGCUAGUUGGUGAGGUAAGGGCUCACCAAGGCGACGAUCCCUAGCUGGUCUGAGAGGAUGAUCAGCCACACUGGAACUGAGACACGGUCCAGACUCCUACGGGAGGCAGCAGUGGGGAAUAUUGCACAAUGGGCGCAAGCCUGAUGCAGCCAUGCCGCGUGUGUGAAGAAGGCCUUCGGGUUGUAAAGCACUUUCAGUCGUGAGGAAGGUAGUGUAGUUAAUAGCUGCAUUAUUUGACGUUAGCGACAGAAGAAGCACCGGCUAACUCCGUGCCAGCAGCCGCGGUAAUACGGAGGGUGCGAGCGUUAAUCGGAAUUACUGGGCGUAAAGCGCAUGCAGGUGGUUUGUUAAGUCAGAUGUGAAAGCCCGGGGCUCAACCUCGGAAUAGCAUUUGAAACUGGCAGACUAGAGUACUGUAGAGGGGGGUAGAAUUUCAGGUGUAGCGGUGAAAUGCGUAGAGAUCUGAAGGAAUACCGGUGGCGAAGGCGGCCCCCUGGACAGAUACUGACACUCAGAUGCGAAAGCGUGGGGAGCAAACAGGAUUAGAUACCCUGGUAGUCCACGCCGUAAACGAUGUCUACUUGGAGGUUGUGGCCUUGAGCCGUGGCUUUCGGAGCUAACGCGUUAAGUAGACCGCCUGGGGAGUACGGUCGCAAGAUUAAAACUCAAAUGAAUUGACGGGGGCCCGCACAAGCGGUGGAGCAUGUGGUUUAAUUCGAUGCAACGCGAAGAACCUUACCUACUCUUGACAUCCAGAGAACUUUCCAGAGAUGGAUUGGUGCCUUCGGGAACUCUGAGACAGGUGCUGCAUGGCUGUCGUCAGCUCGUGUUGUGAAAUGUUGGGUUAAGUCCCGCAACGAGCGCAACCCUUAUCCUUGUUUGCCAGCGAGUAAUGUCGGGAACUCCAGGGAGACUGCCGGUGAUAAACCGGAGGAAGGUGGGGACGACGUCAAGUCAUCAUGGCCCUUACGAGUAGGGCUACACACGUGCUACAAUGGCGCAUACAGAGGGCGGCCAACUUGCGAAAGUGAGCGAAUCCCAAAAAGUGCGUCGUAGUCCGGAUUGGAGUCUGCAACUCGACUCCAUGAAGUCGGAAUCGCUAGUAAUCGUG
rnacentral:rRNA from 1 species